rnacentral:rRNA from 1 species
GACGGAGCAGGCAAGCGUUGUUCGGAAUCAUUGGGCUUAAAGCGCGUGUAGGCGGCUUGGCAAGUACCUUGUGAAAGCCCCCGGCUCAACCGGGGAACUGCUGGGUAUACUGUCGGGCUUGAGGCAGGUAGGGGUGCUUGGAACUCUAGGUGGAGCGGUGAAAUGCGUAGAGAUCUAGGGGAACGCCGGUGGCGAAAGCGGAGCACUGGGCCUGUCCUGACGCUGAGACGCGAAAGCGUGGGUAGCAAACGGG